AGUGAACGCUGGCGGUAGGCCUAACACAUGCAAGUCGAACGGCAGCACAGUAAGAGCUUGCCCUUACGGGUGGCGAGUGGCGGACGGGCGAGGAAUACAUCGGAAUCUACUUUUUCGUGGGGGAUAACGUAGGGAAACUUACGCUAAUACCGCAUACGACCUACGGGUGAAAGCAGGGGAUCUUCGGACCUUGCGCGAUUGAAUGAGCCGAUGUCGGAUUAGCUAGUUGGCGGGGUAAAGGCCCACCAAGGCGACGAUCCGUAGCUGGUCUGAGAGGAUGAUCAGCCACACUGGAACUGAGACACGGUCCAGACUCCUACGGGAGGCAGCAGUGGGGAAUAUUGGACAAUGGGCGCAAGCCUGAUCCAGCCAUACCGCGUGGGUGAAGAAGGCCUUCGGGUUGUAAAGCCCUUUUGUUGGGAAAGAAAAGCAGCAGGUUAAUACCCCGCUGUUCUGACGGUACCCAAAGAAUAAGCACCGGCUAACUUCGUG
rnacentral:rRNA from 1 species